AAUCAACGCUGGCGGCGUGCCUAACACAUGCAAGUCGAACGAGAAAGUGGAGCAAUCCAUGAGUACAGUGGCGACCGGGUGAGUAACACGUGACUAACCUACCCUCGAGUGGGGGAUAACUCCGGGAAACCGGGGCUAAUACCACAUAACAUCGCUUGGUGAAAUUCCUUGUGAUCAAAGGAGCAAUUCGUUUGAGGAGGGAGUCGCGUCUGAUUAGCUAGUUGGUGAGGUAACGGCCCACCAAGGCGAUGAUCAGUAGCCGGCCUGAGAGGGCGCACGGCCACACGGGACCUGAAACACGGUCCAGACUCCUACGGGAGGCAGCAGUGGGGAAUUUUGCGCAAUGGGGGAAACCCUGACGCAGCAACGCCGCGUGGAGGAUGAAGUCCUUUGGGAUGUAAACUCCUUUCGACCGGGAAGAUUAUGACGGUACCGGAGGAAGAAGCACCGGCUAACUCUGUGCCAGCCGCCGCCGUAAGAC
rnacentral:rRNA from 1 species